rnacentral:rRNA from 1 species
CCUAGGGGAGGCUGCAGUGAGGAAUUUUGCGCAAUGGGGGAAACCCUGACGCAGCAACGCCGCGUGAGUGAAGAAGGCCUUCGGGUCGUAAAGCUCUGUCAAGUGGAAAAAACGAUUUACGGUAAAUAGCCGUAGAUUUUGAUGGUACCACUAGAGGAAGCACCGGCUAACUCCGUGCCAGCAGCCGCGGUAAUACGGAGGGUGCAAGCGUUGUUCGGAAUUACUGGGCGUAAAGAGAGUGUAGGCGGUAUGGUAAGUCAGAUGUGAAAGCCCUGGGCUUAACCCUGGAAGUGCAUUUGAUACUGCUAUUCUUGAGUAUGGGAGAGGUGAGUGGAAUUCCCAGUGUAGAGGUGAAAUUCGUAGAUAUUGGGAGGAACAUCCGUGGCGAAGGCGACUCUCUGGACCAAUACUGACGCUGAGACGCGAAAGCGUGGGGAUCAAACA